rnacentral:rRNA from 1 species
UACAGAGGGUGCAAGCGUGUUCGGAAUUAUUGGGCGUAAAGGGCGCGUAGGCGGUGCGGUAAGUCUGUAGUGAAAUCUCUGGGCUCAACUCAGAGUCUGCUGCAGAAACUGCCGUGCUUGAGUGUGGGAGAGGUGAGUGGAAUUCCCGGUGUAGCGGUGAAAUGUGUUGAGAUCGGGAGGAACGCCGGUGGCGAAAGCGACAGACUGGGGCUUGGCCGACGCUCAGGCACGAAAGCCAGGGGAGCGAACGGG